ensembl:misc_RNA Metazoa_SRP Metazoan signal recognition particle RNA
GCCAGGAAUGGUAGUACACGCCUGUAAUCCCUGCUACUGGGAAGGCGGAGGGGGAGGAUCUCUUGCGCUCAGGAGUUCUGAGUAACACUGGACUAAGCUCAUUGAGUGUCCAUACUAAGUUUGGCCUUAAUAGGGUGGGUCUCCAGAAAUAGGGUGUCUACCAGGUUGCCUAAGGAUGGUGAACUAGCCCAGGUCAGAGCUGGAGAAGAUCAAAGUUGCUGUGCCACUCAGAGUGGGAUUGGGCUGAUGAACAGCCCCUAAACUGGUAGCCUGGAGAGAUAUGGAAAUGAAGCUUU